rnacentral:rRNA from 1 species
UCGAGCGAGUGGAGUUCUUCGGAAAAAGCUAGCGGCGGACGGCCGUGUAACACGUGGGCAACCUGCCUCAUAGAGGGGAAUAGCCUCCCGAAAGGGAGAUUAAUACCGCAUAAGAUUGUAGCUUCGCAUGAAGUAGCAAUUAAAGGAGCAAUCCGCUAUGAGAUGGGCCCGCGGCGCAUUAGCUAGUUGGUGAGGUAACGGCUCACCAAGGCGACGAUGCGUAGCCGACCUGAGAGGGUGAUCGGCCACAUUGGGACUGAGACACGGCCCAGACUCCUACGGGAGGCAGCAGUGGGGAAUAUUGCACAAUGGGGGAAACCCUGGUGCAGCAACGCCGCGUGAGUGAUGACGGCCUUCGGGUUGUAAAGCUCUGUCUUCAGGGACGAUAAUGACGGUACCUGAGGAGGAAGCCACGGCUAACUACGUGCCAGCAGCCGCGGUAAUACGUAGGUGGCGAGCGUUGUCCGGAUUUACUGGGCGUAAAGGGAGCGUAGGCGGACUUUUAAGUGAGAUGUGAAAUACCCGGGCUCAACUUGGGUACUGCAUUUCAAACUGGAAGUCUAGAGUGCAGGAGAGGAGAAUGGAAUUCCUAGUGUAGCGGUGAAAUGCGUAGAGAUUAGGAAGAACACCAGUGGCGAAGGCGAUUCUCUGGAC